GGUUAAGCGACUAAGCGUACACGGUGGAUGCCCUGGCAGUCAGAGGCGAUGAAGGACGUGCUAAUCUGCGAUAAGCGUCGGUAAGGUGAUAUGAACCGUUAUAACCGGCGAUUUCCGAAUGGGGAAACCCAGUGUGAUUCGUCACACUAUCAUUAACUGAAUCCAUAGGUUAAUGAGGCGAACCGGGGGAACUGAAACAUCUAAGUACCCCGAGGAAAAGAAAUCAACCGAGAUUCCCCCAGUAGCGGCGAGCGAACGGGGAGGAGCCCAGAGCCUGAAUCAGUGUGUGUGUUAGUGGAAGCGUCUGGAAAGGCGCGCGAUACAGGGUGACAGCCCCGUACACAAAAAUGCACAUACUGUGAGCUCGAUGAGUAGGGCGGGACACGUGGUAUCCUGUCUGAAUAUGGGGGGACCAUCCUCCAAGGCUAAAUACUCCUGACUGACCGAUAGUGAACCAGUACCGUGAGGGAAAGGCGAAAAGAACCCCGGCGAGGGGAGUGAAAAAGAACCUGAAACCGUGUACGUACAAGCAGUGGGAGCACGCUUCGGCGUGUGACUGCGUACCUUUUGUAUAAUGGGUCAGCGACUUAUAUUCUGUAGCAAGGUUAACCGAAUAGGGGAGCCGAAGGGAAACCGAGUCUUAACUGGGCGUUAAGUUGCAGGGUAUAGACCCGAAACCCGGUGAUCUAGCCAUGGGCAGGUUGAAGGUUGGGUAACACUAACUGGAGGACCGAACCGACUAAUGUUGAAAAAUUAGCGGAUGACUUGUGGCUGGGGGUGAAAGGCCAAUCAAACCGGGAGAUAGCUGGUUCUCCCCGAAAGCUAUUUAGGUAGCGCCUCGUGAAUUCAUCUCCGGGGGUAGAGCACUGUUUCGGCAAGGGGGUCAUCCCGACUUACCAACCCGAUGCAAACUGCGAAUACCGGAGAAUGUUAUCACGGGAGACACACGGCGGGUGCUAACGUCCGUCGUGAAGAGGGAAACAACCCAGACCGCCAGCUAAGGUCCCAAAGUCAUGGUUAAGUGGGAAACGAUGUGGGAAGGCCCAGACAGCCAGGAUGUUGGCUUAGAAGCAGCCAUCAUUUAAAGAAAGCGUAAUAGCUCACUGGUCGAGUCGGCCUGCGCGGAAGAUGUAACGGGGCUAAACCAUGCACCGAAGCUGCGGCAGCGACACUAUGUGUUGUUGGGUAGGGGAGCG
rnacentral:rRNA from 1 species